rnacentral:rRNA from 1 species
UACGUAAGGGGCGAGCGUUGUUCGGAAUUAUUGGGCGUAAAGGGCACGCAGGCGGUUAUACAAGUCUGAUGUUUAAGACCUGGGCUUAACCCAGGGGGUGCGUUGGAAACUGUAUGACUAGAAUCGUGGAGGGGGAGUCGGAAUUCCUAGUGUAGGGGUGAAAUCUGUUGAUAUUAGGAAGAACACCGGUGGCGAAGGCGGACUCCUGGCCGAAGAUUGACGCUGAGGUGCGAAAGCAUAGGGAGCAAACAGG